GGAAGCAGAGACCAAGAGAGCUGGCACAGGAGCUGAGUGAUACCCAGCUCCCUCCGUGCUUCCCCUCAUUCUUCCACAAGACUCUGCGAUCUCCAGCUAAUGUUUCUCCAACUAAUGUUUGGCUGUUGGUCUUUGCAUCUGUUUCUAUCAGCUGCUGGAUGAAGUCUUUUAGAAGACAGUUAUCUCGACUCCUGUCUACAAGCAUUGCAGAGUAUCAUUAAUAGUGUCAGAAGUUGGCUCUUCCCAUGGGGGUGGAUCUCAAGUUGGGAGAUGGCCUGCUUGCCUCCAGGAGGUGUCCACUUCAAUCUCCAUAUUCUCAGCCUCUAAGGGUUCCAACUAGUUACCCUUAUAGAUUCCCUGGAUCCUCUCCCAAACCAGGGCUUCUGCUUGCCUCAGAGAUGACCCCAACAAAAAUUUGCUGUCUCUUCCAGCAAUCUCUCAACCCCUCAACCAGAUCCCAUUCUCCACAUACCUUAUUUCUAACCAAGAUUAUAUCCAUACCUCAUCUUCCAUCCAUCUACUUCCCCUCCUGCACCUCGAGUAUCUAUAUUAUUUCUCCCUCUAAGUGAGAGCUAAGUGUCACUCCUUGGACUCUCCUCAUUAUAUAGCUUAUUUGGGCCUGUGGAUUGUAUCAUGGUUAGCUGUACUUUAAGCUAAUAUCCACAUAUAAUUGAGGAAACACCAUGCAUGCUUUUCUUGGUCUGGGUU
rnacentral:sRNA from 1 species